GAUGAACGCUGGCGGUCUGCUUAACACAUGCAAGUCGAACGGAAUCCUUCGGGAUUUAGUGGCGGACGGGUGAGUAACGCGUGAGAAUCUGCCUUCAGGUUCGGGACAACAGCUGGAAACGGCUGCUAAUACCGGAUGUGCCGAGAGGUGAAAGCUUUAGUGCCUGAAGAUGAGCUCGCGACUGAUUAGCUAGUAGGAGUGGUAAUGGCACCCCUAGGCGGCGAUCAGUAGCUGGUCUGAGAGGAUGAUCAGCCACACUGGGACUGAGACACGGCCCAGACUCCUACGGGAGGCAGCAGUGGGGAAUUUUCCGCAAUGGGCGCAAGCCUGACGGAGCAAGACCGCGUGAGGGAAGAAGGUCUGUGGAUUGUAAACCUCUUUUGAUGGGGAAGAAGACAGUGACGGUACCCAUCGAAUCAGCCUCGGCUAACUCCGUGCCAGCAGCCGCCGUAA
rnacentral:rRNA from 1 species